rnacentral:rRNA from 1 species
GACGUUGACAGUGAGUUUCGGCCUCGCUGUUUGCAUGUUUGUGCGCUUUGGGUGUACUUUUUCGUAUGGUUGGCCAACAUCAGUUUCGAUCACUAUAAAAUGACUGGCGGAAUGUAGCUUCGAUUUCGGUUGAAGUGUUAUAGCCUCUGGUAGAUGUGGUGAUUGGGACUGAGGAUUGCAACGAAUAUCCUUUGGGCUAUCCGUCUGGCCUCUGAAAGUUGCUUGGGUGCUGAAAGCUUGCUUAUGGUUAUCUAAGUUAACGGUCAAUAGGUUAGAACGUGAUUACAUUCGUUAAGGUGGUUGACGUAA